rnacentral:rRNA from 1 species
AUUGAACGCUAGCGGGAUGCUUUACACAUGCAAGUCGAACGGCAGCGCGGACUUCGGUCUGGCGGCGAGUGGCGAACGGGUGAGUAAUGUAUCGGAACGUGCCCAGUAGCGGGGGAUAACUACGCGAAAGCGUAGCUAAUACCGCAUACGCCCUACGGGGGAAAGCAGAGGAUCGUAAGACCUUGCACUAUUGGAGCGGCCGAUAUCGGAUUAGCUAGUUGGUGAGGUAACGGCUCACCAAGGCGACGAUCCGUAGCUGGUUUGAGAGGACGACCAGCCACACUGGGACUGAGACACGGCCCAGACUCCUACGGGAGGCAGCAGUGGGGAAUUUUGGACAAUGGGGGCAACCCUGAUCCAGCCAUCCCGCGUGUGCGAUGAAGGCCUUCGGGUUGUAAAGCACUUUUGGCAGGAAAGAAACGUCGCGGGCUAAUACCCCGUGGAACUGACGGUACCUGCAGAAUAAGCACCGGCUAACUACGUG